rnacentral:rRNA from 1 species
AUGAACGCUGGCGGCGUGCUUCACACAUGCAAGUCGAACGAAGCACUUUAUUUGAUUUCCUUCGGGACUGAUUAUUUUGUGACUGAGUGGCGGACGGGUGAGUAACGCGUGGGUAACCUGCCUUGUACAGGGGGAUAACAGUUGGAAACGGCUGCUAAUACCGCAUAAGCGCACAGCAUCGCAUGAUGCAGUGUGAAAAACUCCGGUGGUAUAAGAUGGACCCGCGUUGGAUUAGCUAGUUGGUGAGGUAACGGCCCACCAAGGCGACGAUCCAUAGCCGACCUGAGAGGGUGACCGGCCACAUUGGGACUGAGACACGGCCCAAACUCCUACGGGAGGCAGCAGUGGGGAAUAUUGCACAAUGGGCGAAAGCCUGAUGCAGCGACGCCGCGUGAGCGAAGAAGUAUUUCGGUAUGUAAAGCUCUAUCAGCAGGGAAGAUAAUGACGGUACCUGACGAAGAAGCACCGGCUAAAUACGUG